rnacentral:lncRNA from 1 species
GUUCUCUUCUCUCUCUCAAAACUCUCGUUCUCUUCUCUCUCUCACCUCCCUUCACCACGCCGCUGGUCUGCUGCUCCCCACCGUGAUAUUUCGCUGCCGUCGCUCCGCCACCGUGCUAUUUCGCUGUCGUUGCUCCGCCACGGCCUUGUGCCGGCCGUCGUUGCUCCUCCCACCGCCAUCCACUUCAGCUUUUUAAGGUAUUUUUUUAAUUUAUGAAUGCCUAUCGAUUAUAAUUUAUUUUUUGAAGUUCUGAACUGAUUUCGACUUUUUUUAUUGUUUUUUCUAUGAAAAUCAACUGAUUUCGAAAAUUUUAAAUCGUGGUAUGACUAUAUGUAGUCAGAUCUAAUGGUGAAUUUCAGAUCUGGAACCGGUGGUGUUUGAUUUGUAUAUGGUGUUUGAUUUGUAUAUAUUUACUGCAUUAAUAAAAAAAAAAAAACCAAAUCUACUAUGUUUUGAAGAUAUGUGAACAAUUAAUAUUAAAAAAAAAUUUUUGGAUUAAUUUGAUUUUUUAUUAUAAAUCAUAUGUAAUUUAUUUUUUGUAUUUAUUUGAAGAUGAUUCGAAAUGCCUCAAGUGUGAGAGUUUUUUAUUAAUCAUGUAUAGUCAUUGCUACAUAUAACUAUACAUGACUAUACAGUCAUAUGUAAUCAUGUAUAGUCAUGUCUACAUAUAACUAUACAUGACUAUACAGUCAUAUGUAAAAUAUUUGUGCUAGGUAAGACAGUGUUUUCAAAUUUAUAUGUUAUACAAAGUGUAUGUGACAUAUGAAUUUUUGUUUUGCUGUACAGGAUGAUGAAGAAUCCGUGUUACGGAGAGAGAAAGAAAUAGAUAAAAUUAGUAUAGAAGGCAUUUCUUUUGAUGGAAAGGUUUAAUAGUUUUUGCCAUAGGUUGGUGUGAAUUCUUGUUUCGUUUAAAUAAUUUUUUUUACGAUCUUUGUCAUGAAUUUUUAUUUAUGAUUGGUUCUUUUUUUUCCAGUAAGAGCACGGGUAAUGCAAUUGCAGAAUAUUUUUCCAGAUCGGAACUUGGCUGUACUUGUUUCAGUGUAGGAGAGAUUUGCGUUAUCAAGUCAUAUAUAGUCACACGGGAUCGAACCGAGCCUGCUUUUAGUGUUCUAGUUUCGAUAGAUCGGAGUUGUCGGGUUGAAAAGUGAGAUUUGAAGCUAUAAAUUCAAAUUAUACUAUACAUGACUAUACUCAUAUAGUUAGUCACAUGUAGUUAUAUAUAGUCACAUAUAGUCAUAUACAUGUAGUCAUAUAUAGUCACAUAUAGUCAUAUACAUGUAGUCAUAUAUAUAGUCACAUAUAGUCAUAUACAUGUAGUCAUAUAUAGUCACAUGUAGUCAUAUAUAGUCACAUAUAGUCAUAUACAUGUAGUCAUAUAUAGUCACAUAUGGUCAUAUACAUGUAAUUAUAUAUAGUCACGUUUAGUAGCAUGUAAUUAUAUAUUUUUAUAUAAAAGAUAUGCGUUUCUUCUGAUGUAUACUGAUGAUGGUGUUAAUGAUUGUGUUUUUUGAUUUUUUUGUUGGGCACUAAUUGAUUUAUAAUAACAAGAUUCAAAUUGUAAAUUUAUUUGUUGGUAUAAAUGAAGUUUUUUUUAUAUAAUCAACGGGUUACAUAAUCGGUCGACCAUAAUUUUGGGAUAAAAAAUAGUACAUGACUACAUAUAACUAUACAUGACUGUCGUAUACUAUAGUCAUGUGUAGUCAAUUUAUU